CUCUCGCUCUCUCUUUGCGCAGGAUCUGAAGCCGGGAUGAGCGCCCGGGCGGUGGGACAGGAAAACGCGUCUCAGACAAGAAUUCAAGACUUCUGCAUCCUACCUGAAAUGAUGUGAGGAGGGGAGAGAGGAGUAUUCUCAGCAUCCUAUGAAGCUGGAGGGAGUUUUGUAUGCCAUCUGGCCUGAUGCAGGAAAUCUAGCCAUACAGCAUUGUUCAGCAGGUGGCUGUCAAGACUCUGCCUGAAGCCCUCCAGUGAGGGAACUCCUCACCCCAGGAAUUGGCUCCAUGAAACCAUAGGAUAAAUUCACAAAGUCUCCUGCAGACAUUAAUCGAAACAAGUCCAGGACAGACAGUGACAUUAUUCGUCUCCACAAAGAAGCGAGAGCCAAUCGUCACAGGCCUCAGGGUCCAAGGGGGUUUCUCUAUUCUAUGUGAAGGACAAUUUACUUCAUGUUCAUCGACUGCCUGUGAUGGACAAACAAUGUUACUUUUGAGACAUACAAAGAGGGCACCAAGCUGCUAAAAACUGGAUCCCUACCUCUCCUUUGGCAUUCUCACAGCACAUAAAUAUUGAGGCUAUGAAUAUUGUGCAUUUGGAAGUGAGAGGACGAAAUAAAAAUUGCUCAGUGUGAAAAUAUGUUUCAAAAUCUUUACUAUCAGAACUUGAUCUAAAAUAAACUUUCAACAACAAUGUUACAUUAUAGUUGCAUAAUAAUAUCAUGUGCUGAUCCCAGCACAG